AUUGAACGCUGGCGGCAGGCCUAACACAUGCAAGUCGAGCGAGCUGCGGACGGGUGAGUCAUGUAUGGGGACUGCCCGAUAGAGGGGGAUACCUACUGGAACCGGUGGCUAAUACCGCAUACUAUCGGAUAACCCAUAUGGGAUUAGCUAGUAGGUGGGGUAAAGGCUCACCUAGGCGACGGUCUCUAGCUGGUCUGAGAGGAGGAUCAGCAACACGGGGAUUGAGACACGGCCCAGACUCCGACGGAGGCAGCAGUGGGGAAUAUUGCACAAGGGGCGCAAGCCUGAGGCAGCCAUGCCGCGUGUAGGAAGAAGGCCUUAGGGUUGUAAAGUACUUUCAGCGGGGAGGCGUUACCCGAAGAAGAAGCAACGGCUAACUCCGUGCCAGCCGCCGCGGUAAUAC
rnacentral:rRNA from 1 species